UACGUAGGGUGCGAGCGUUUGUCCGGAAUUAUUGGGCGUAAAGGGCUCGUAGGCGGUUUGUCGCGUCGGGAGUGAAAACCAGGUGCUUAACACCUGGCUUGCUUUCGAUACGGGCAGACUAGAGGUAUUCAGGGGAGAACGGAAUUCCUGGUGUAGCGGUGAAAUGCGCAGAUAUCAGGAGGAACACCGGUGGCGAAGGCGGCUCACUGGCCCGGUACUGACGCUGAGGUGCGAAAGCGUGGGGAGCAAACAGG
rnacentral:rRNA from 1 species